CGAUAGUUCGCUAGACGAGCAAAAAAUAAGUACGAGAAAACUACACGCGAUAUAACCGAGCACGAGACAUAUCGUAAACUGACAAGUUCGCCUGUAGAGGGCCGCGUUUACCGUUUGCUUCUUCAAUAUGACAUACAAUUCCUCGGAUCUGGAUGGACCGUAUCAUUAGCAUUUUUUAGUUAACGAUGGAGAGGGCUAUCAUUCGAAAAAAACGAACAAAUAUACGGACUAAAGUAAACCCUGUUCGGUCCAAGAGUAGAACGAACAAGGUAAUUACGCAUUUGACUAGAUCUACAUAUAAUAACUACCUUAUACUGGUUUAAACGCGGCACCCUUUCGCGCCACGAAAAAAAAGAAUACGGAGUUUUGUACAGUGAGUCACUCGUAGGCGUGUCUUGGAUUAAUCCUAAGCACCUGUGCUGAGGCUAGUUAUACAGUGCACUUGCGAAUAACUGAUACAGUGAAAGGGGUACUUAAAGUUUUGCUUGAGUUGGCGGAUCGAUGUUCCAAAAGAGUGAACACGUUGCACCCCUUCUUUCUUGGGCGUACGUACGUAUUCCCAUGUGUAAAGUUGGGGAAAACGUCUGGUAAUGAGGGGGUGCUCAUCGUCUCUGCCGAUUUUGUCGCUUAUCGGCCACCCGCAACGUUACAGUGGGAAAAUAGAAACAUAUUUAUCUUAUGAAUGACAAAAAUUCAUAAAAUAUUAACCAUGAAGACUGAAGGUAAAUCGGAUCACGUACAAACUCGAUGACUAACUUGAAGCGACAAAUUUAAUAAAGUUAAUAGAAUAUAUUACAUCACCUUCGACCCUUAGAACGUUUAUCAUAUAUGUCUGGGAUGACGUUAAAGAAAGUUUAUUUUCACUGUCGUUCGAAGGGCGCGAAAUGCAAUCUGCUUCAUUGAACGAAUGAGUAACGCGAAACAAUACGAAAAUAACACUGGCGGAGCUAAUGGUUUUAUCUAAGCAUUAUACUAUCGAAUUAUAGCUCUGGAAAACGAUAUAAUGGUUAUUCCAAUCUAGUAAAAAAAAGAACGGAAUGUACUAGACCGAUCAACUUCGAUUAUCAUUUAUCUGUGCGAAUUCGUGUCAUCUUCGUUAUGCAAUCCCAUACAUUGACGUAAAAGUAUAAUAACUCAUGUGCAUUUGUUAAAUAUUUCGUUAGAGCAACACAAUGUACUGCACAACCUAGCAUUGAAAUCACCCGAUAAAUUCAGUGAUCGCGAUGCUGUCUAUAGUAUCAAAGUGAUCGGUACACGCAUUAUAACGACCCGCUUUUAAACGGACGAAUUAAUAAUAUUCCGACGAAAUGAAUUCUAUUAUGCUCGAACUCUACCUUUUCGGAUACAAGUGAAAUAGAAUUCAAUGCAAUUGGUAUGAUCGAUAGCAUGUAGUAUAGAGAGAGAGAAACAUAAAACCUUAAUGAAGACCGUUAACUAUACUUCUUACGAUUAAGAUAAGCACAGCUAACGAUGUUUUCCGACGCUAUAAAAUAAUUCCUAUACAAUUUCUUUUGAAAUAUAAAUUACAACCAUUUGUUUCUCUCUACACACCAGUACUA